AGAGUUUGAUCAUGGCUCAGGACGAACGCUGGCGGCGUGCUUAACACAUGCAAGUUGAACGAAGGUUUUGUUUUCGGACGAAACCUUAGUAGCGGACGGGUGAGUAACGCGUGAGUAACCUGCCUUUGUGAGGGGGACAACAGCUGGAAACGGCUGCUAAUACCGCAUAAGGCCACGACCCCGAUUGGGGAUGUGGUAAAAGAUUUAUCGCACAAAGAUGGACUCGCGUCCCAUUAGCUAGUUGGUGAGGUAACGGCCCACCAAGGCGACGAUGGGUAGCCGACCUGAGAGGGUGAUCGGCCACACUGGAACUGAGACACGGUCCAGACUCCUACGGGAGGCAGCAGUGGGGAAUAUUGGGCAAUGGGCGCAAGCCUGACCCAGCAACGCCGCGUGAGGGAAGAAGGCCUUCGGGUUGUAAACCUCUGUCCUUAGGGACGAAAAAAAUGACGGUACCUAAGGAGGAAGCUCCGGCUAACUACGUGCCAGCAGCCGCGGUAAUACGUAGGGAGCAAGCGUUGUCCGGAAUUACUGGGCGUAAAGGGUGCGUAGGUGGCCAAGCAAGUCAGAUGUGAAAUCCCCGGGCUUAACUCGGGUGCUGCAUUUGAAACUGCGUGGCUUGAGUGCAGGAGAGGAAAGCGGAAUUCCUAGUGUAGCGGUGAAAUGCGUAGAUAUUAGG
rnacentral:rRNA from 1 species